rnacentral:rRNA from 1 species
GUGUCAGCCGCCGCGGUAAUACGGAGGAUCCGAGCGUUAUCCGGAUUUAUUGGGUUUAAAGGGUGCGUAGGUGGUUUUAUAAGUCAGCGGUGAAAGUUUGCAGCUUAACUGUAAAAAUGCCGUUGAAACUGUAAGACUUGAGUGUAAAUGAGGUAGGCGGAAUGCGUGGUGUGGCGGUGAAAUGCAUAGAUAUCACGCAAAACUCCGAUUGCAAAGGCAGCUUACUAAGCUACAACUGACACUGAAGCACGAAAGCGUGGGGAUCAAACAGGAUUAGAUACCCUGGUAGUCCACGCAGUAAACGAUGAUUACUAGCUGUUUGCGAUACACAGUAAGCGGCACAGCGAAAGCGUUAAGUAAUCCACCUGGGGAGUACGCCGGCAACGGUGAAACUCAAAGGAAUUGACGGGGGCCCGCACAAGCGGAGGAACAUGUGGUUUAAUUCGAUGAUACGCGAGGAACCUUACCCGGGUUUGAACGUAGGGAGACAGGGGUGGAAACAUCCUUUUCAGCAAUGACUGCCUACGAGGUGCUGCAUGGUUGUCGUCAGCUCGUGCCGUGAGGUGUCGGCUUAAGUGCCAUAGCGAGCGCAACCCUUAUUUCCAGUUACUAACAGGUGAUGCUGAGGACUCUGGAGAGACUGCCAGCGUAAGCUGUGAGGAAGGUGGGGAUGACGUCAAAUCAGCACGGCCCUUACAUCCGGGGCGACACACGUGUUACAAUGGUAAGGACAAAGGGCAGCUACCGGGCGACCGGAUGCGAAUCUCUAAACCUUAUCUCAGUUCGGAUCGGAGUCUGCAACUCGACUCCGUGAAGCUGGAUUCGCUAGUAAUCGCGCAUCAGCCAUGGCGCGGUGAAUACGUUCCCGGGCCUUGUACACACCGCCCGUCAAGCCAUGGGGGCCGGGGGUACCUGAAGUUCGUAACCGCAAGGAUCGACCUAGGGUAAAACUGGUGACUGGGGCUAAGUCGUAACAAGGUAACC